UCGGCGCUUUAGUUGAAAUGAUUCAAAGACUUCAAUAGAUUUUGAAGUUAAGGAACCCAAGAAAUUGUAUAUCUUGUUCUCUGUCCAUGAUGGCUCUGUUUAUUUCAUGCUCCUAAUCUACUCAUCAGUUGUGAACACAAAUGGUCCAUCAAAGUGAACUAGCUUCCCACCAACUUCACCUCCUUAUGAUGAUUCAAUUCCACCCCCAUCUUUUUCAAAACUUG
rnacentral:lncRNA from 1 species